rnacentral:lncRNA from 1 species
GCCCACGUGGAACGGCUAGCUGUCCACCGGAACUGAAGAACCAGGCCUUCGGUGCUAGAGCCCGGGAGGCCAAGUCCCGAGGGAAUCUCAGUGCACGCUGCUCUUGGAGUUCCGACGUCUCACCUCUGCAGAGAAGAGGGAACUUUGGAAAGUCGCAGUCACUGGGCACCCUGCUGACCCGGAGAAGGCCGCGGAUCUUUACCACGGCGGUCUAAUGCUUACAAAUAACUCUUCAUCUCUGCCUGCGUUUAUGGAUUCCAGAACCUAGACAAAGAUGUUUAAUUCUCCAAUAAACUUCGUAUGAGAAAACCACCACUGUGUGUGAGCCUUCUGUCUCCAUUCUUCAGCCCACCUUCAGCUCUGUUCAGUUCUCCAUACCAUUACUCUGGUGUUCUUACCAUAUCGUACUUUUCAGUCAUGCCAGUCCCCUCAACUUCAGGACAAAAUUCAACUCCUUGGUGUAGCAAACCUGGCCCUGAACUACUUUUCAGCCCCUUAUUCCUCUCUUUCUUUUGUAACUUUAGUGUAUAUUUGUUUAUAGGGAAACCCCCACAAAGUCUAGAUCGGUACUGUCUAGAACUUUUUGCAUCAAUGAAAAUGUUCUCCUUAUGCUCUAUCCAACAUGGUGGCCACCAGCAAGUGAAUUCCCAGCUUAGUAUAGGUAUCAGAGACCUUGUCUCGAGAAAAACAACCAAAACAGAGUCUGGGAACAUAGCUCAGUUGAUACAGUGCCUAAUUAAUAUGCAUGAAGGCCUGGGUUUGAUCCCUAUCACUGCAUACAACUAGGUGUGGUCACACACAUCUGUAAUCCUAGCAUUCAGAAGGUGGGGGCAGGAGGAUCAGAAAUUCAAGGAUAUUCAGUUUGGGGCCAGCCUGGCUGGGCUGUAAUGAAAACUGAGUUUUUAAUUGAUUCACAUGUCUGCACAGAAGAUGGAGAUAGUCUUAUUUCUCUUUCUCAUUCCAUUAAUUUUGGGGAUAUUUAGAGUAGAAGCUGAGGUUACAGUGAGGGCUGUUACCAUUAGACAAUUUUUAAUUAUUUAUGUUGUAUGUGUAUGAGUGCUUUGCCUGCAUACAUGUAGAUGUGCUAUGUGUGUGCCUAUUGCUUACAGAGGCCAGAAGAGAAUGCUGGAUCCCCUGGAACUGGAGUUAUGGAUGGUUGUAAGCUACCAUGUUGGUGCUGGGAACUGAAUCCAGGUUCUCUUGCAAGAGCAGCAAGUGCUUUUAACCAAUGAGUGACCUCCCCAACCUCUCACUGAAUAAAUUUUGACAUAGUAUAAUUCACUGGGACAUGAAUUCUAUUUAACUUCUGCUUGCAGUAGUCUGUCUCCAUUUCUUCCUCUCCUCAAGAAACUAUGUGUAUCUUAAUUUCAUAUAGGAGAGGCUAGCCAUUAGAACAAAGAACCAAUAUGGGGUCACUAUAUUACUUAGUGACCUAAAUAAUAUAAAAACGUAUUUCUUACUCAUGUAACAGACCAAUAUUUUGGCUUUCCUUAUUAUCCAACUUCCACCUAUUAGUAGGCAUUCUACCAGAAAAGCG